GUCUUCGUGGCCUAGUUGGUUAGGGCGUAGGUCUCAUACGAGAACCACCGCACCGGUGCAUCAACGAUCCUGCUUGCAGGAACAAACCUACGAACUGCUAAAAGUUCAUGACAUCCUAAGAUCGCGAGUUCGACUCUCGCCGAGGACA
rnacentral:tRNA from 1 species